AGAGCCCGACCCAGCGGCGGCGGGAGGAGGGGAGUGCGUUUUCAUCACCCCAAGUUGGCCAAGCUCCGUGCCAGGUUUCAUCUUACUUCAUUCUGAUUAUCGACAUCUCACUGCCGAGGAAACAGACUUGCAGACACCGAUGAGAAAACUUAGGAGCCAGCUGGGGAGGGAGGACUGGCCCAAAGUCACAGUCAACAGGAGGAAGCGGCGCGCGCCUAGCUACGCAAAACCGCAGGAUGGAAAAACGCAGAGCAGAACGCACCCUGACCUGGCAGAGCAUCUGUAGUGGAGAGAAUGGGAUUUUAGAGGAACGCUGAAAAUAAAACAAGAAAACAAAAGACCAGAGGAAAGUAUUGCUAGGGUGAAGAGGGAGCGCCUUGGCUCCUUUGCCACCAACCCAGCCCCAGUGAGAGUUUACCCCCUAACUUUGAGGGUGCCCUCCCAUCCCCAGAGCCCUUGGUUUUACGUCUAAGUACACUCCCCUUGCAGGGAAGCGCCAGCUCCGUGACCCUGGUUCUCUAAACAUUUUCCUUGCAGACUCCUAAAAGAAUUUUGAAAAUCUGUGUACCCCUUGCACAUUUUUAGGUGCAAACAUUUAAAUUGUUUUCAUAAGUUUAAAUAGUUACAUAGAGUCUACUUUCUGGUGUAUUGCAAAUAUUUGACAUUUUAAAAUAAAACUGUCACAGUACUCUGAAAAAUGUUUCUAAAUGUAAUGCUAUUGUGAUUGGAUACAACCAUCAUCCCUUUUAAAACUACAUGAACAAUUUGAACAAAUUUCAUUUCUUUUUUUCUCCUUGAACUUAUAUUUCUCUUCUACUUCCCGUACAGAAUUUUAGCAGAAUAUAUUUUUACGGUUCAAAGUCUUUUAUGUAUCACCCUUCACUCUAUCAUACUUCUUCCCAACAAAACUAUGUGUAUAAGACGAAUUUACUUUUAAAUUUUU
rnacentral:lncRNA from 1 species